GACGAACGCGGGCGGCGUGCUUAACACAUGCAAGUCGAACGAUGAAGCCGGAGCUUGCUCUGGUGAAUUAGUGGCGAACGGGUGAGUAACACGUGAGUGACCUGCCCUUGACUCUGGGAUAACUGCGGGAAACUGUAGCUAAUACCGGAUACGACCCUCGGAGGCAUCUCCUGGGGGUGGAAAGAAUUUCGGUCAAGGAUGGACUCGCGGCCUAUCAGCUAGUUGGUGAGGUAAAGGCUCACCAAGGCGACGACGGGUAGCCGGCCUGAGAGGGUGACCGGCCACACGAGGAAGGAAACACGGCCCAGACUCCUACGGGAGGCAGCAGUGGGAAAUAUUGCACAAUGGGCGCAAGCCUGAUGCAGCACCGCGGGGUGAGGGAUGACGGCCUUCGGGUUGUAAACCUCUUUUAGUAGGGAAGAAGCGAAAGUGACGGUACCUGCAAAAAAAGCACCGGCUAACUACGUGCCAGCAGCCGCCGUAA
rnacentral:rRNA from 1 species